GAUGAACGCUGGCGGCGUGCCUAAUACAUGCAAGUCGAGCGAACGGACGAGAAGCUUGCUUCUCUGAUGUUAGCGGCGGACGGGUGAGUAACACGUGGAUAACCUACCUAUAAGACUGGGAUAACUUCGGGAAACCGGAGCUAAUACCGGAUGAUAUUUUGAACCGCAUGGUUCAAAAGUGAAAGACGGUCUUGCUGCCACUUAUAGAUGGAUCCGCGCUGCAUUAGCUAGUUGGUAAGGUAAUGGCUUACCAAGGCAACGAUGCAUAGCCGACCUGAGAGGGUGAUCGGCCACACUGGAACUGAGACACGGUCCAGACUCCUACGGGAGGCAGCAGUAGGGAAUCUUCCGCAAUGGGCGAAAGCCUGACGGAGCAACGCCGCGUGAGUGAUGAAGGUCUUCGGAUCGUAAAACUCUGUUAUUAGGGAAGAACAUAUGUGUAAGUAACUGUGCACAUCUUGACGGUACCUAAUCAGAAAGCCACGGCUAACUACGUG
rnacentral:rRNA from 1 species